UCAUGAAUAAAUGUAAGCUUUGGUUUUUUCUCCUUCUCAAACAGUUCCAGAAAACACCAUAAUUAAUUUCCCAGGCGAUGUUUGUGAAGAAAAAGAAUGGUGAGUAGUGAUUAUGUAUUGCUUUUGUUGUUGUUGUUGUUGUUGAUAGUAGUAGCAGUAGCGGUAGUAGUAGUACUAGUAGUAGCAGCAGCAGAAGCAGUAUCAAUUUAUUAUUUGUUCUGACUGCUAGCUUGGUCAGAAGAAGUACAGAAGUGUGCAGGUAGAUCCAGAUCCAGAACUUAGACAUCACUGUCCGCUUCCAGCUCACUAGUUCAAUGUUUCAAUCACGGACAGUUAGGGAGGCCCUGACAGGUGGGAUGUUUGCAGCCAGCUGUUUCCGUGGGCUGACGCUUCACGGAUGCUCAGCCAAGCUGAAGGAUAUCUGGGAGAGCAUUAAACAAAGUGACAUGCAGAAUGACUGCAUUCGCUGUCGGAAAGGCACAUGCUGUUUGCUUCUCACGCACCCUUUGCAGAGCCAAGUGGGCAAAGGCCUGGAUUCAAUCGACGUUCGUCCUUAAGUUUGACUUAUAAACAAGAGCUUUCUGUCCCAAGUGCCCGUACAGAGACUGGGGGAAAAAAAGGCAUUUAUGUAUUCUGUACCUUCGGACUGGAAUAAGUUACAAAAUGACUUAAACCUUAAUGUUUUGAUUUUGUUGAAUGCUUUUAAAUCCACAAUGAAAGAACUGGAGGCGGAAUCGAUAGGAUGUCAGUGUUUAAACUGAAUUUUUGAUGCGUUGCUUUUAUUGCACAUUGUUGUUGAUUGUUUUGUAUUGUAGUGCUAAUUGUUUGUUGUACUGUUUUGUCUUAUUUGCAACAUUUUUGUGCUGCUGCCUGUCUUGAUCAGGGCUCCCUUGAAAAAGAGAUUUUUAAACUCAAUAGGACCUUCCCUGGUAAGAUAAAUAUUGAAAUAAAAAAUAAAAUAAAUAAAAGAGCGAUUGUUCAUUUUUAGCGAUCACCAAACUCGCCAAACUGUUAGUAAGGUACAAUUAAUUAUGCAUUUAAUCAAGUUAAGGAUGUAAUUGGUGAUUGAAUCCAGUGCAGUGGCAUUAAUCAGCUGAAGUCAAGUGCAAAUGAUUAAGCAGAUAUGAGCAAGGAGAGCUGUAUUUGUUUCUGAAUUUGUUUCUGAUUUGUGUUAAUUUCUGCUUUUAAUUAUUUAAUUGGCAAAAUCACUUGAAUGAUCUGGCAUUUUAGCUCCAUUUAUAUAGGCCUACAUAAGCUCGCAAACGACUGCUGAAGCCUAUUCUUGCUUCCCUAUGAAACGUUUUACUGUGGUUUUAUCUGGCAUAAGUGCAUGUAGCUAAUUGCCCUGUUUUUCCCAUAUUUCAGAAAUCAGUUUACCUAAUUGUGGUAUUGAUUGUGCAGUGUAGCAUGAUUGUUAUGUGCUGGUAAAAUAUGAACUCAAUUCUUCUUCUUCUUUUUGUUGCUGUAUAAGAAAGUGCAACCAUUCAUCUAGCCAAAGGUUGGGUUUUUUUAAAUAACUGAAAUAUUUUGUGUGGUUUUUACGACAUAUUUUCAUAGUUGAGGGCAUUUACAACAUGUUAUGCCCUACUAGUCUUAACCAUCUUUUUGUAGGCUACCGACACCGGCUCCUGGUUUUUGUCCAUGGCUUUAAAUUCGAGAUCCGCCUCUGGCGCAAGCUAUAUGGGUUCAUCGGUUGAUUAACGGGCACCAUGUUCGUUUUCUCAUAAAGCGGGGGUAUGGGGCGGGAGAUGGGAGAGCCGCUUGUGUCAUUCGUGGUCAGUUAACCAAUCAACGCAGAGCAUGUAAAAAAAAAAUUAUUUUUUAAAUGCGCAUGCCCACCCAAAACGGCCUGCUUUGAUCAAAGGCGACCGUCCCCAGCGGGGGUUCAGCGCCCUGAGUGUUAAGGGACCCACGCUUCCUGUCACUUUCUGCGGCCGUGAAGCCCCGCACUUCUCGAUUGAUUUGCGGUUGAGAAUGACAGUAUCGUUACAAAGCUUAUAUAAGCUUGUAUGAUUUUUUUUUCUUAAACCUUGUUCUGUUUGAAUACUAUUAUUUGUUUGUUUGUUUUUGCUCUGUCCCUUGUUGCAUUUUACUUGUACCGUUAUUAAAAAAAUAAAUAAAUAAAAAACAAAUGAUGAAGCUCAUAAAGAUUUUCUGCAAAUGUAAUGCCGACAGAUGUGUAAAAGUGCCUUUAGCACAAUAACCUUGACCUUGUAAUAAGAGUGGCCCAUUAGUGAAAUUCGCCUACAGGUAAAAGAUGACCCAUAGAAUGGUUUACAGUGUAACUGGGAAUAGAGUAGGCUCUGUGAAAGGGGGAGGGUUGGGGAUUUCUGGCCUUUCAAUAGUAUCCUGAAAGCAUUAUUACUGUGGCUGCAUAACGUGUCAUUUAUAUAAAGAAAUUGGGUGUUGGUAUAAAAUGAUCUUACUGGUAUUUAGCUUGUGCUAUUGAAUUUUUGAAAUAAAAUACCAUCAAAAACAAAGGCAGUGGACAACAGAUAUUAUGUGGCAACCAAACACUGAAAUCCCCUGCACAUUUUUGUCUGCCAUCGAGGCCCAAAACACGCAUGCACACCUUCAAUAAAUCCAGCCCCAAAUGUUUUUCUCAGUGUAGGAUAGCUACCAUUUCAUUGAUUUAUCAGUACAAGAAGGCAUAAACACAUUAAUGCCGCUCUGUAACACUGGCUACAGCUCCAACGCUUCCAUAUGGCAGCAGCCUGUCAUCAGUUGUAGUGAGCAGGUCAGAUGUGUUGCUCCCAACACAAAUAUAAAUAUGUAUAUGCUAUAGUGGAAGCUUAACUAGACUUAAGUAGAGUCUCUGAAGUGUGCUUGUUCACGAGCCAACCCUCCCAAUUUCUUACUUGCCUAAGUUAUAUCCUAAUCAUACUAGUUUUUGCAAUACUGGGGGAAAAAAAACUUACCGGGAAAGAUAUUUCUGUUCUUGUUUUUUUUCCCUACCCGAAACCUCAUCUCAUUCCAUUGCAUGUAUUCGCAUGUAGGCGGACACAGAGAUUGAUAAUUGUCAAUAGUACUUUUGAAACAAAGCACUAGUCUGGGGUACAAGGGAGUCCUUCUCGCGUCGCCUCCUCCCUUCUUCUCACUCCUCAAAACACCCCCUAAUUACAACGCUUUGAAUUGCGUCCGAACGGCUAGUCGCGAUGUGUGCGCUUGCCUCGAGCUCCGCGAGCGUGUGCCGGUUGGGCGUCGCCCGUUCGGCUCCGAUCGAGCGCGACGGCCUUCGCGCCAUCGUCGCAGGACCCAUCGGGCCUGUCCGCUCCCUCGUUGAUAGCGCUCGUCGUUUCCGAAGGAGCGGUUUUACGGAGGCCGCGUGGAGGCAGGAGGUGCAAUCGAUACACGAAACGUUAAACUAUUCUGUGUUACCUGUCCUCCCCGAUUCCACACGCCCUGCAAUUUACUACAGGAGAAAUGCCGGCCUGCAGGAGAACUCUGACUGGACCACAGGAGAAGCUGGUUUAUGUAUGUAACUUUAUCUUCCGAUCAGAUGAUAUUUGGGGGAAAAAUGGUGCAUGGUUGGCUAGUUUAAUCAAUAGGUGUUUUCUGCUGUGAAAACAGCAUACAAUACAGGAGAUUUUCUAUGAAGGUUGGGUUGUUGGGUUUGUAUUAAUAUUUAACUCUUCCAAGUCAAGUCUUCCAAGUCAAGUUCCAAGGUAAAGAUGCAUGUUGAUUGAAUCCAGGGCAUGGUCAAGGCUGAUUUAAUGCUACUAUCAUCAACGGUAAUGCUGUCAUCGUGGAGCACAUACAAUAAAAAAACUACCAAUAAAAACUGUUGUACAGUUAUUUCUGCUAAUGCAUAUGGCAGAUUUUAUACUAUAACCUGUGUAAUGCCUGGGUAUAUGUUUUAUUCUAAAUCUUUAUCUAAAAUUGGAACACUUCUACUUUUGGAGUGAUAAACUCCAUGAAGGAGUAGCUCCUCCUUAAGACGUGCUGCUGUAAACGUUUACAGUCAGUCAUGCAACUAGGCAUACCCAAUAGGCCACCAGAAUUUUGGCAGGUAAUUCAGUAUUAGCAGUUAGUUUGAUAUAAAUGAAUUCCACAUUACCAAAUAUUUGAGCGUGUCAAUGUAAUCACCGUGUCACUAAUCUCUUUCUGAUCAAACGGCACACGUAUCGUUUGGUGUUUUCUCUGACGGAGUUUCUGCGCUUUCUGGAGGCCCGGCCUGGGAAGCUUGCUAUUGUUUACCCGAUGUUGAGGGGGAUCCGCUGUAUGCAGAUGUGUCUCGUCUUCAGCUGGUUCAAAGGUGAAGCAGCAGCUUAUUGGCUCAGCAGGGUGAACGUCCGUGCCCCCUGGUCACUGGUCACAGCUCGUUCCCCUGCUGCUAUGGAUGGAAUACUGCUUUUAGGGGAGUUUGUCUCCUGACAUUUUUAAAAGGAAUCAUGCGGCUGUGGCUUUGUGUGGACGUUAGCUAUCUAGUACUAUAAUUUUAUUAUUGUUGAUUAUUUCCACAGCACUUCUGCAAUAACUGGAUGUUCUCUUUGGCUGUUAUUUCAACCUUGUCUAUGACUUCAUAUUUUCACCUCUGUCUUACUUUUUAGAAUGAUUUCAUCUUCCUCAGGAGAGUGCCCUGUAAUUUAUGUCACAGAAGCAGGGAAUUCUGGGAAGGGUGUUUUAUCCACAACGGUAUAUAAGACCUUAACGGACUGCAAAAGGUUUUCCAAUUCUGCCCUGUAGGUUUUUUUGAUUUUUAAUUUUUUUUUUUAUAGGAUAAGUAAUUUAUUUAUGAAGAAAACCUUAUCUUAAAUAUUCCGUUAAGUUAAAUAAACCUUUAAAUCAUGCAGAAUUAGCGAUACCUGUCAUUGACAUUCCAUUUUGGUCGGAGAAUAAAUCAAACAAACUAAACUAACGGACCGAAAAUAUGGGCUGCCCACGUCAUUGCCGUCCUGCGUGCUGGCUCUCUGUCAUUGAGUGGAAACGUGGGACUUAGCAGCGGCGCUUUCACAGUGGAAAGAAGGAAAGGGUGCGAGCCCCAUAAUAGAGCGCGCUAUAAUCUUCAUUUGCCGAGGCUGCUCUUUUUUGGGAGACAGGUAAUUUAUAAUUUAGGCGCCCAUUAAUUUUAACGAGUCCGCUAUCAUUCAUUUUAAGGCAUCCCACCUUUCUGUGACACGGAUAGUAUUUCUUCUUCGUUUUUCUCUCUUUUUUUCCCUCCCCGCGACAGGACCGGGAGCGUAGCCCUACUUUCUACUUUGUUUGUUCUCGCGCUCGUCUGCCUCUUUUAACGGUCAGUCCGUCUGCGUUUGGAGGAUUGGGAAUACGGAAUCAGAGCGCUGCGUGCAGCUCUGCAAGGACACUGGGCCUCAAGUUUCACUUUCACGAGACGGCUUUUGGAAAGUAAAACGUGAAAAACUA